AUUGAACGCUGGCGGCAGGCCUAACACAUGCAAGUCGAGCGGAUGAAGGGAGCUUGCUCCUGGAUUCAGCGGCGGACGGGUGAGUAAUGCCUAGGAAUCUGCCUGGUAGUGGGGGAUAACGUCCGGAAACGGGCGCUAAUACCGCAUACGUCCUGAGGGAGAAAGUGGGGGAUCUUCGGACCUCACGCUAUCAGAUGAGCCUAGGUCGGAUUAGCUAGUUGGUGGGGUAAAGGCCUACCAAGGCGACGAUCCGUAACUGGUCUGAGAGGAUGAUCAGUCACACUGGAACUGAGACACGGUCCAGACUCCUACGGGAGGCAGCAGUGGGGAAUAUUGGACAAUAGGCGAAAGCCUGAUCCAGCCAUGCCGCGUGUGUGAAGAAGGUCUUCGGAUUGUAAAGCACUUUAAGUUGGGAGGAAGGGCAGUAAGUUAAUACCUUGCUGCUUUGACGUUACCAACAGAAUAAGCACCGGCUAACUUCGUG
rnacentral:rRNA from 1 species